AUGAUACUCCCUCCGUCCAGAAAUACUUGUCGGAGAAAUGGAUAAAAAUGAAUGUAUCUAGAAUUAAAAUAUGUCUAGAUACAUCCAUUUCUUCGACGAGUAUUUCCGGACGGAGGGAGUAUGAU
rnacentral:pre_miRNA from 1 species